rnacentral:rRNA from 1 species
UACGUAGGGUGCGAGCGUUAAUCGGAAUUACUGGGCGUAAAGCGUGCGCAGGCGGUCCGCAAAGUCUGAUGUGAAAGCCCCGGGCUCAACCUGGGAACUGCAUUGGAAACUAACGGGCUCGAGUGUGGCAGAGGGGGGUGGAAUUCCACGUGUAGCAGUGAAAUGCGUAGAGGUGUGGAGGAACACCGAUGGCGAAGGCAGCCCCCUGGGCUAACACUGACGCUCAGGCACGAAAGCGUGGGGAGCAAACAGG